rnacentral:lncRNA from 1 species
CCUGCCCUAUCUCUUUAGUCUCAGUAGUUACAGGUGAAUGGAUUUUCAGUAGGGUCCAAUAAAUCAGGACUUGUUCCAUGUAAACUACAGGCAUUGGUAUUUUCAAAUCACUGCCGGCCUUAUAAAAUGGCUGAGGUUCAGUGCUAUUUUGAAGCUUAGCAGCCAGAAAAAUACCAGUGCAACUGCCAAGAAGCUUGCUGCUUCAUGCAGCAAGGAACACAGACCUAAAUGAGAUUUUUCCUUUUUUUUUUUUUUUUUUUUUUCUUGUAGGGAGGCUGCAAGGAAGCAGGGGGUGGGGAAAGGAGCUGCUCACUUGAUUUUCCCUGAAAUACACUGUGGCUGUAGAUUUGAAUCAAUCCAAUGAAUGCUUUACAGGUGGUUUUAAGAAGAUAUAAACAUUGUCCAAUUAAUGGCUUCUUGUUUUCCUCUGUUGAGAUUAGUUCAUCUAUAUAUUUACGAUAUGCCAACAGCAUUUUUUUUGCAGGACAACUCCCUCAAAGUUCUGUUUGUGCAAGUCUGCAUUUUGUUACUUUAUGAUUUGGAACAGACACACUGCAGUGAUGGAUGACCAACUCUUGCCCAGCUAAAGAUUUCUCUGUCUUUCUACAACAUUCAGUGUAUUCACUGCAAUAUGAAGACCCUCCAGGUUCUACAUCAAUCACUCUUUCUUCUCAAUAUCUAUACAAAGGCACUGGGGAAAAUUAUGAGACAUCAUUUAAAGUACCAACAACAUGGAUCACUUUCUGUCCCAAUGGAUGGUAAGUCUCCUACUCUGUAAAAGUUAUCUGCUGUCACCUGUGUCCAAAGUCAGAGUGAAUCCUGCUCAGAUCCAUGGAUAAUGCCACAUGAAGUGUAUAGACCAAGGCCCCAUCCAGCCUGGCCUUGAACACCUCCAGGGAUAGGGCAUCCACAGCUUCUCUGGGCAACCUGUGCCAGUGCCUCACCACCCUCUGAGUAAAGAAUUUAUUCCUUAUAUCUAAUCUAAACCUACCCUGUUUUAGUUUAAGACUAUUCCCCGUCAUCUUGUCAAUAUCUACCCAUGUAAAGAGUCCUUCUCCAUUCUUUUUAUAAGACCCCUUUAAGUAUUGAAAGCUUACAAUGAGUUCUCCCCAGAGCGUUUUCUUCUCCAGGCUGAAUGCUCCCUGCUCUUUCAGCCUUUCUUCAUAGGAGAGGUGCUACAGCCCUCUGACAUCUUUGUGGCCCUCCUCUGGACUCAUUCUAACAGCCCCACAUCUUUCUUGUGCUGGG